AGCAGCCUGACUGCUCAAGUGUGUGAUGUCCCAAGCCUCCCUUGUCAUUUGUCUUCUCCUGGAACAUCCCAGGAGCCCUGUGAGAUCACAGACUGGUUUGGAACAGGAGGCACCUCAAAGUUCAUCUCAUUCCACCCCAGACCAGGCUGCUCAGAGCUCCAUCCAGCCUGACCUUAAGGAGCAUCCCCCUGUUGUCACUGAGAGAGCCCAGUCUUGGGGAAGCCAAAGCCAGCUUUUCCCAGCAGGACCUGGAAGCUGGGGCACAGCUCCCACCUGUGACCUGGGAGCAGAGGCAGCAGGAAUUUUGCAGGGACAGCACAGCCCGAGCUGAUUGGAGCAGUUUGGGUCUCCCCCAGCACAAUGUUUGAUCCUGGAGUCGUCGAGGCUCAGAUAUUUAUGACAGACUCAAACCCAACCCAGAGCACACACCUUUCUUCAAAACCACCCUGCUGGGAGACACCUCUCCUUUUAAGCACAGCAGAUUUGGAACAUUUAUACACCAUUUCUCAAGAACAUGAGGAAGAAAAGGAACUGAGAGCUUUCUGGGAAGCUGUGCUGCUAAAGAUAAAAGGCAUUCUGAGGAUUCCCACUGAGCUCUCCUGCAUGCCUGACACCAGGUGCCAUCUCCACGCUGGGAGCUCUCCCAUCCUCAGCAAAAUUCCCUUUUCCUGCUGGCAACAGGCUCAGUGUGCCCUGGGCUCUGAGAAUGGGAUUCAUCUGGGUAUGUCACACUGGAUGUCCCAUGCCUGAGCUGUGGGAAUGGGGAAUGAAAUGGUGCAGCUCUGAGAGGAAUAAAGGAGGGGUUUGGGACAUUAUAGAAGAACAUCUUCCUCAGGGAAUUGGAACCAGCAGAGGUUGUUCCAUCCAAAGAUCCACUUGUUUCUUGACUCCUCCAUCACUUCUUGUCCUCAUCCCACCCAAAUUUAACAGCCAGAAGGAGACUUUGCUCCAUGGCUCCCAUCUUUAUUAAUCCAGCAACCUUGGGAAGCAGGGUUUGUGUCCUCCUCCAUCCUUCAGCGUGGCUUCCCUGCUUCUCUGGUGUUUCCUGCUCCAGGCUGUCAGCACCCUUAGGAAAGCUGUAACACAUCCACAGCUCUGUGCUGGUAGCACAAAUGGUCCUGGAUUCAGAAACUCCAAAAUUACUGCAAUCCCUGCAUCCUGGACUCAUCAGUUGAAAGCACUCAGGAAAUCAGUGGGAAAGGACUGUUCAUACUCCCUGAAAGCAGUGGGGAAUGGAUAAAACAUUCUUGUGCCAAGAGAAAUGGGGGAGCCAAAGGCUCCUGUGCUCAUCACAUCUACCAGACACCGAGGAAGGAACUUCCCAGGACUGCUGCAGCCCUGCCAAGGAGCGGUGAUUGAAAUCCCCAGCAAGCAGAGGGGUUGGAAAUCCAGAUGCUGCUGGAACCACAGCUGAUCCCUGAACUGCAGUGAAGGUUUCCCAACACCUUCUGAUGUUUUGGGAUCAAUCUUCUGACACAAGGGGGCUGCCAAGAUGCAAAGUGCAACAGCAGCAGGUGACAGCAGGAUAUGGAGAAAGGAAAUGCAAAUAUUUGGGAGAGCAGCCCAGAAGAGAGAGGAAAAGGCUGUUUGAGGCUUGGAACCUGCAGGCUGCCAGGGACAGCAGCUCAUGGAAAUGCACAUUAACAGGGGACUUGCAGCAGCCACCUGGGAGUGGGGGUGGCAGGACCUGAGACCUUGGAUAAACUCAGUUUGGAUGUGGAUGGGAAUGUCCUGGUGCCUGGUUGGAAGGAAAAAGGAGAAGUGCACAUCCAUAUCCCAGCCCUGCUCAGGGGAAGAGAUGAGAGACAGAAGGCAAUGAAGAGAGAAUCUCCCAAAAUUAGGUGCUAAUUCCUGGAACAGGUGGUUGACACAAUCCCAGGACACAGAAACCCCCCCAGGAUGAUUCACAGAAUUCACAGAAUCACUGGGUUAGAAGAGACCUUAAAAAUCAUUGAGUCCAACCCAGCCCCAACACCUCAACUAAACCCUGGCAUCCAGUGCCACAUCCAGGCUUUGUUACACACAUCCAGGGAUGGUGACUCCACCACCUCCCUGGGCAGCCAUUCCAGAACUUUCACCCUUUCUGGAAAAAACUUUUUCUUAAUAUCCAACCUAAAUUCCCCUUGAAAUACAGGUUCUGCUCCUCAGAGCCACUGGAAGGCAGGAAUUGGCUCCCAAGGGAAGGUGCUGCUGGCACGGGUGCCCAAGUGGCUGUUCCAUGUGAGGGAGGGGAGCAGGCUGAGGGCCUAAUUGGCACGGAGGGAAGGAGGGGGAAUGCUGGAGUUCUGGGUUCCUCCUCCACUGUUCUGAAAUCGGGAAAUGCCAAAUGCUGAUAUUCUCCAUAAAUAUCUAUUUAAAACCAUUGCUUCCCCCAGCAUUCCCACCCCCGCCCAUGGAUGAGCACAAAUCCUGGCUCAGCACAAAACCCAGCCUAGCUCAGGAACUGACCUUCAGCUUGGCUGCUUUUAUCUCCUCUGUGCUCUGGUGCUCUUCCUCCCCAUGGAAGUGAGCAAGCACCCCAGAGAAAUGUUCUGAGGAGCCAUGUGCAGGAAAGGGCAGCCAACCUCCCACUCCCAAAAUCCUGACACUCAGUGUGCAUUCAGAACCAAAGAAUUGGUGUUGGAAAGGUCUCUACACACACUCGCCAAACCCAGAAAAUGCAGCUCCUAAAUGCCAGCAAUUACUAUCAGUGUUCCUUUGGUUAAUGUUAAAAUUGGGAUAUUGGAUGAAGGAGGGGUUUGAGCAUCUUCAAGUUGAAUUUACAACUCAGAGAACCACUUGUAGGAUCUCUCUGCUGACUAAAAUCCCUCUCCCUCCACACCUAAGGAAUAAGUGCCUCCAGCCAUGCCAAAAAUUGGAAAAGGUUUAAUGAAAACUUGGAAUUUCUUUGCUAAGGAGCUACAGGAAGCCACCAGGAAUGGGGGAAACUCUGGGACUCCUCUUUCCAGCUGAAUGGGAAACAGAAGGAAGGUCUCCAAAAGGAGUCCAUACACACAGAAGUGUGAUCCCAGGAGGGAGGGGGCUGUAUGCCACCAAGGGACACCAAGAAGUCUCCAGUGGGAAGAGGGAUCAAAGUGGAAAACCAGCAGAGAAAUGGAAAUAGUCCCCUGGGAAAGCAGGAGUGAGGGAAAGGUAUCAGGGUCAGAGUGUCCCAGCUGGAAUCCUCACUCCAUUCCUGCAGCAUUCAUCCUCUUCUUUAGCAGGAGGGAGAUGAUAAUGAAACCAAGAGACUCCAAAGCUGUCUCCAAAGGCAAUCUGUGCCAAGGAAAAACUGCAGGAAGCAGAGAGGGAGCGAGUGUGGCAUUUCCCAGAGGAGCUCUGCAGAGAGCAGCAGCCAAGGAAAGGCUUUCUGCGCCUGGCAGGAGAGGAUGAGGAGUCUGUUAGCACAAUGCCUCUCAAAAGGAAUUCUGGCCUCUCCCAGAAACACAGUUUGGGAGCCAAGGCUGGGUUUUGGAUUUUGAUUUCACUUUGGUGAGGGGUGGAUCACCUCUUUAAAACCCCUGAGCUCUGAAAUAUUUGGAUUAAUGUCUCUUACAAAGGGAAACAACCAGAAAUUGGCUGGGUUUUCACUCACCAAUUCCCCCUCAAAUCCUGGGCUUUGCAGAAGAGCUUCACCCUCCAGGGUGGCCAGUGAGCUGCCCCAGGGAUCCAGUGGGAGAUGUAUCCCAAAGAGAUGCAAAAGAGAUGAUUUCUCCAACUGGUCCAUCUGAGCUGGCAUCUGUUGUACCUGCCAGGAUUUCCAGCUGGAAACAUCACGCUCUCAAGGUAAUUUGGGACAUCUGGUUAUUUGUCACCACCAUCAGAGGUGUUCCCAUCCUCAGAAUCCUUUCCUCAAAAUGUUUUUGUAAAGGCUUCAUUUGCCUUGGUUCAAUAAAGCCACACAUUUAA